rnacentral:rRNA from 1 species
AAAGGAAUAGACGGGGGCCCGCACAAGCGGAGGAACAUGUGGUUUAAUUCGAUGAUACGCGAGGAACCUUACCCGGGAUUGAAAUGUACCUGAAUAGAGCCGAAAGGUUUUAGCUAGCAAUAGCAGGUAUGUAGGUGCUGCAUGGUUGUCGUCAGCUCGUGCCGUGAGGUGUCGGCUUAAGUGCCAUAACGAGCGCAACCCUCAUUGAUAGUUACUAACAGGUCAUGCUGAGGACUCUAUCAAGACUGCCAGCGUAAGCUGUGAGGAAGGUGGGGAUGACGUCAAAUCAGCACGGCCCUUACAUCCGGGGCGACACACGUGUUACAAUGGUGGGGACAAAGGGCAGCUACCUGGCGACAGGAUGCUAAUCUCGAAACCCCAUCUCAGUUCGGAUUGGAGUCUGCAACUCGACUCCAUGAAGCUGGAUUCGCUAGUAAUCGCGCAUCAGCCAUGGCGCGGUGAAUACGUUCCCGGGCCUUGUACACACCGCCCGU